AUACGGAGGAUCCGAGCGUUAUCCGGAUUUAUUGGGUUUAAAGGGUGCGCAGGCGGGAGAUUAAGUCGGCGGUGAAAUUUUGCAGCUCCACUGUAAAAGUGCCUUCGAAACUGGUUUCCUUGAGUGUAGAUGAAGUAGGCGGGAUUUGUGGUGUAGCGGUGAAAUGCAUAGAUAUCACGAGGAACUCCGAUUGCGCAGGCAGCUUACUAAACUACUACUGACGCUCAGGCACGAAGGCGUGGGGAUCAAACAGGAUUAGAUACCCUGGUAGUCCACGCAGUAAACGAUGAUUACUAGCUGUUUGCGAUACAAUGUAAGCGGCUGAGCGAAAGCGUUAAGUAAUCCACCUGGGGAGUACGUUCGCAAGAAUGAAACUUAAAGGAAUUGACGGGG
rnacentral:rRNA from 1 species